rnacentral:rRNA from 1 species
AACGAACGCUGGCGGCAUGCCUAACACAUGCAAGUCGAACGAGACCUUCGGGUAUAGUGGCGCACGGGUGCGUAACGCGUGGGAACCUGCCCUUAGGUUCGGAAUAACUCCCCGAAAGGGGUGCUAAUACCGGAUAAUGUCUUCGGACCAAAGAUUUAUCGCCUUUGGAUGGGCCCGCGUUGGAUUAGCUAGUUGGUAGGGGAAAAGCCUACCAAGGCGAGGAUCCAUAGCUGGUCUGAGAGGAUGAUCGGCCACACUGGGACUGAGACACGGCCCAGACGCCUAAGGGAGGGAGCAGCGGGGAAUAUGGGAAUAUGGGCGGAAGCCUGAUGGAGUAACGCCGCGGGCGGGAUGAAGACCUUCGUGUGGGAAACCUUUUGCGCCGGGGACGAAGCGGGAGGGACGGGAAUUGCUAAAGAAGCACCGGCUAACUACGUG